rnacentral:pre_miRNA from 1 species
UCUUAUGGAUGAGAAAAUAAAGUGGUUUCUUGAGAUGGAAACUACUCCUGGCGAUGAUGUUGUGAA